AUUGAACGCUGGCGGAAUGCUUUACACAUGCAAGUCGAACGGCAGCACGGGGGCAGCCCUGGUGGCGAGUGGCGAACGGUUGAGUAAUACAUCGGAACGUGCCCGGUCGUGGGGGAUAACGUAGCGAAAGUUACUCUAAUACCGCAUACGAUCUGAGGAUGAAAUCGGGGGACCUUCCGGCCUCGCGCGAUCGGAGCGGCCGAUGUCAGCUUAGGUAGUUGGUGGGGUAAAGGCCUACCAAGCCGACGAUCUGUAGCUGGUCUGAGAGGACGACCAGCCACACUGGGACUGAGAAACGGCCCAGACUCCUACGGGAGGAAGCAGUGGGGAAUUUUGGACAAUGGGCGCAAGCCUGAUCCAGCCAAUCCGCGUGCAGGACGAAGGACUUCGGGUUGCAAACUGCUUUUGUACGGAACGAAAAGGCUCUGGCUAAUACCUGGGGAUCAUGACGGUACCGGAAGAAUAAGCACCGGCUAACUACGUG
rnacentral:rRNA from 1 species